CUCCUGGGAAUAGAGCAUCUCCAAACAUGAGCUUUGUCUAAAAGUGAGAAAUGCAUCGAAUAAGGAAUGUUCAUCUUCCUGCUCCCAGUGAAGGAGAAAAAAAAGAAGAAGAAAAAGAAGCCUAGCGAGAAAUUCUACUUUUGCCCACUCAGACCAGCUCGUGGACACCCACUCUGCACACCUGAUGCCAUCCCACUAAUGACAGAAUCCCGAGCAGAAAGGCCAGGGCCACCUAAACAAGAGCCAACCCGGCCCUUUCAACUCUAUGGCAUAGGUCUCCUUUAGAAGAUCACAUCACUAUCUCCAUGGGAUGUCUGUCAAGAAAUACACCUGAGGGAACUGUUUCAAACAUUCCAGAGAAUUGGCCUUCAGGCUCAAAGAAGGCCAGGAAUAGUUCAAGAUUGGAAAACAGUGAAGAGAUUUAGGAGACCUAAAUGCAAUGUAUGCUCUUGGACUGAACCAGGGGACGGACCAUGGAUGGAGAAAGGGAGACACGGCACUUUAGUGAGAUCAUUGGAAAAUUUUGCAUAUAGAACUAUGAAACUAUUUAACUACAAUAUUUCAUGAUGCUUACAAAUAUACUGUUACUGGGUAAAAAAUAUUCUUGCUCUUAGGGACUAUACACUGAAUUAUUUAUAUUUAUGGAUAAAGAGACAUGUCUGAAAAUUACUUUCAAGUGACUAGGGAAAAUAUGUUGGAAGAGGGAGAAAGGGAAAAAGAGACCUAAUAAUAAAGCAAAAAAGCAAAAUGUUAAGAAGUGGUAAACGUGUCAAGAAUGAACAGAUUUGCAG